UACGUAGGGCGCAAGCGUUGUCCGGAAUUAUUGGGCGUAAAGAGCUCGUAGGCGGUUUGUCGCGUCUGCUGUGAAAACCCGAGGCUCAACCUCGGGCCUGCAGUGGGUACGGGCAGACUAGAGUGCGGUAGGGGAGAUUGGAAUUCCUGGUGUAGCGGUGGAAUGCGCAGAUAUCAGGAGGAACACCGAUGGCGAAGGCAGAUCUCUGGGCCUGCACUGACGCUCAUGCACGAAAGGCGUGGGAGCAAACAGG
rnacentral:rRNA from 1 species